rnacentral:rRNA from 1 species
UCCAGUUUAUCCUGCUGGCGGUUGCGGCUAUCUGGCUUGCGCUUAGGCAUGCAAGUCUUUCGCGAGAAGGCGAACUGCUUAGUAACACGUAGUUAAUCUGCCCUAAGGUCAAGAAUAACCUCGGGAAACUGAGGAUAACACUUGAUAAGAAAUUAGUGCUGGAAUGCUUUUUUUCUGAAACUCGAGCCUUAGGAUGAGACUGCGGCUGAUUAGGUUGUUGGCGGGGUAAUAGCCCACCAAGCCGAUGAUCAGUAAGGGCUCUUAGCGGAGAGGCCCUAAGAAGGAAUCUGAGACACUAUUCCUAGCCCCACGGGGUGCAGCAGCCGGGAAUCUUUUGCAAUGCACGCAAGUGUGACAAAGCGAGCCAGAGUGUUUUUCACAAAAUGUGAAAAACUUUUGCUUGUUGUAAAAAGACAGGCGAAUAAGGACUGGGAAAGACCGGUGCCAGCCGCCGCGGUAAUACCGGCGGUCCAAGUCGCAACCACAUCUAUUGGGUCUAAAACAUUCGUAGCCCGUUAGGUAAGUUUCUUGUGAAAUCUUACUUCUCAAAAGUAAGGCGGGCAAGAAAUACUGCUUAACUAGAGACCGGAAGAAGUAAGAAGUACGAUUGAGGUAGUGGUAAAAUACGUUAAUCUCGAUCGGACUAGCAAUAGCGAAGGCAUCUUACUAGUACGGAUCUGACGGUGAGGAAUGAAGGCUAGGGGCGCAAAACGGAUUAGAUACCCGUGUAGUCCUAGCAGUAAACACUGCUCACUAAACAUUAGCAUCUCCUCGAGAGAUGUUAGUGCUGCACCGAAGGGGAAGAGUGAGCUACCUGGGAAGUAUAGUCGCAAGGCCGAAACUUAAAGGAAUUGGCGGGGGAGCACUACAACGAGUGACGCGUGCGGUUUAAUUAGAUUCCACACCGUGAACCUCACCAGGAUCGAUAGCAGAAUGAAGGUCAGUCUAAAGGGCUUACCUGACACGCUAAGAGGAGUUGCAUGGCCGACGUCAGCCUGUGUUGUGAGAUGACCUGUUAAAUCAGGUAACAGGCGAGACCCGUGUGCAUAGUUACUACGUAAGAGCACACUAUGCAGACUGCCUGGGUAACCAGGAGGAAGGUGCGGGCUACGUUAGGUGAGUACAGCCUGAAUACCCUGGGCUACACGCGCGCGGCAAUGCUAGAUACAAUAAGAUGCGACUCUGAAAAGAGAAGCAAAUCUCAUAAAGUCUAGCCUAGUUCAGAUUGAAGGCUGCAACUUGCCUUCAUGACGCUGGAAUUCGUAGUAAUCGUUCGUUAUCAGCGAACGGUGAAUAUGUCCCGGCUCCUUGCACACACC